CUGUGCAAUCUGAAAUAAAGCUACUACUGGCACGGAAGUGACGGAACGUACGAAAUCGUAUAUCACCAUCUGACAGCGUUUUGUUUGUUCGGUGCAGGCUUGCAUUGCAGUAGUUGGCACUGGCAGUGGCACUGCAACAGCGGAACACUCGUGUUUCGCUGAGUCGACUAUACAUCGCCAUACGACGAGUGCUAAACUGCCACGGCAAAGUGCCGAGCACAGUACAGUAACUGUUAUGCGGUGCCCUGGUUCGUGAAAACAGUAAAAUUUAACACGUUGUCAUUAAUUCGAUUUCGACCGCAUUUCCAAAGAGAACUGUGUCCGCAAUUUGCUAGCAAACCAGAAUUAGCGAGGUUCCUCUAUAAGAUGAAAGCGCUAAGCAUGAAUCUGCAUGCACAACUUUUACCAGUUGACAAGUACAUAACUUUUACCAGUUUGGAUUGAGCAUUCACGAAAGAAGCUGUCACCGACAUUGACCACAGUAUCUAGCCCAGAUGACGCACCCCUGCACCCGUCUAUUAAAGCUAGCCAGGGCGAAAAUCUGAAAGAAGCGACAAAAAAACCAAGAGAAAUGGCAGCGGAUUUCACGUGUUAAUCCUUCCAGCCGUUGAAGGCAGAUCCCGUCCGUUGAAGGCUUGGAUCACUGUAAGGAGAACGUUCUUUUGACCAAGCGGAUGGCUGUGCCAGUAACAGAGGCAUCGUUAGGCAGCAGUUUCGAAAUUUUCCGCCCGGGUUCCGAAAACCAUUUCAGGAAGAUCGAUCGUCGUCCUCGUCCAGUUCAUUAUUCCGGACGCGCAACACGCACUGGAAGUGGAAUCCAGCAAAAUCCCAAUGAAUUUCUAAUGCCACGUUCCUCAGUUGCUGAGACAGCUGAUGCAUCCUUUCCCUUUUUGGAACAGGACUUGCUGUCCACGGAAUCAUCCGUAAUCUAAUAAAAUAUAAAAAAAUAAAAGUUGGAUGCCACAAGGGCAAACGAAAGCAUGUAUUAGGUCAUUGACUCUCUAGUCUCCACGUACAAUACAUGUUUUCGUUUGUUUCUGUGUUGUCCAUUCCCACAAUCCUUUGACUUUUUUCCACAUUUUUAUACUGUAAAAUAAUUUUAAACUAAACAAAAUUAUCUGCCUAAAAUUCGGCAUUGUAGUGAUGAAAUAUUGUGGGUUUCAAAUUCUUCUGUGCAGUACAGUAUGCAGUUUGAUACGAAAGUGCACGGUGCGCUUUUAAUGUUUUUGCAGUCUAUCCAGUAGUAAACAGAUGCAGUCAAGGAAAGAAUGCCGUACGCCCAAUCACGGGACUGGCGAUUGCAUUUAUUGGAUAAUAACCGUUUAAUGUGUCACUUGCUGUCAAUCGACCGCUACUUUCUUGCAGCGUUCAGCCACGGUACAAAAUAAUCUGUGUAGUACGCGUAUUCUUAGCCGGUCCUGCCUGCCAGUCUCAACAACUUGUGGUCGAGUUGUAAUGAACUGUGUCUACAGAUAUAAUAUGUACGAGUACCGGAGGUUGCACGAUAUACAGUAAGUAUCUCAACUGACACGGGUCUUAUUUGCGACUUAAUUCCAGCAUUUAAUUUCUUAGCAUCUGUACAUUCGUUAUUACAAUUAAUUAAUAUUGUGGGUGACCUGUUGAAGCCCAACAGUCAAUACUUUGUGUGAUGUACAGUAUGUGGCGGCCGUCGCACCGGGCGUAUGGGAGUGUGACAUUUUGCCGCACAUGGGCUGGCACUCAUUUCGACUA